UUUUCUUUUAAAUAUCCCCCUCUCAUCCUCAGGUGCCAGGUGUUCUGUGGGACAGUCACUGGGGCAGCUCAAGGAAACUGGUGUGAAGCCACCGUGUGGGGACAGCCUGGCCCUUGGUGGCAAUAAGCAAGUGGCGGCUCCCAUGGGUCAUGCUCCAGGUUGUCUAAGGGGUGGCGAGGGUGGACAGGACAGCUCCCACCAGCCCCUGCCUCUGACCCCUGGAGAGGGUGCGAGCAGGGGGAAGCAGCCUGGCUUGAAGUAAGGAUUCUCCAGCAGCACCAGGUACCCAUCUGCCUCUGUCGCCAGGCAAGAGUGCAACAGGUCCUCAUGGCUCUCUUGAGCUCUGCACAGACCACGUCAGUUGGCUCUGUGCCCUCAGGGUCAGUGAAGAUGGGAGAAGGGCAGAGUGCGGAGGGGGCGGGGUGAGCAGCCUCUCCUCAGCAAUCCCAGGGCAGGGGCAGCGGGCAGCACAGAGCCCUGUUGGCACCUCGCCCAGACCUGCAGUGCCCACCCACUGCCAGUGUUAGUGUGUGAAGUGGGGGUGAAGGGGAGAAAGAAAUCACAGGCACGCCCCCUUCCUGUACUUAUUAGAGAUUAACAGUCAUCAGAGAAGUACAGAUAAGGAAGCAUUCUCAAGGGAAAAACCUGAUGUAAACCCAGGAAAGUAGCAGCAAAGAUUUCACUCGGUGAAGAUCUAGUCUACAGCACUAGAAAAGAAAAUCUUUGGGGGUGGUUAAAGCAAUUAGUCAAACCGUAGCAGUUAGAAACUUUCUCAAGUUAGGAUUUUCUAAGACUUUAGGGUCUCAUUCUCUAGUGCCAAUAAAAGAAAACAAGUUACUAAGGCUGGGAGGGUUAGGCUGAGAAACACGCCCUGUGAGCAGCAGCAUGGGACAGACU